GACGAACGCUGGCGGCGUGCUUAACACAUGCAAGUCGAACGGAAAGGCCCUGCUUUUGUGGGGUGCUCGAGUGGCGAACGGGUGAGUAACACGUGAGUAACCUGCCCUUGACUUUGGGAUAACUUCAGGAAACUGGGGCUAAUACCGGAUAGGAGCUCCUGCUGCAUGGUGGGGGUUGGAAAGUUUCGGCGGUUGGGGAUGGACUCGCGGCUUAUCAGCUUGUUGGUGGGGUAGUGGCUUACCAAGGCUUUGACGGGUAGCCGGCCUGAGAGGGUGACCGGCCACAUUGGGCCUGAGAUACGGCCCAGACUCCUACGGGAGGCAGCAGUGGGGAAUAUUGCACAAUGGGCGGAAGCCUGAUGCAGCAACGCCGCGUGCGGGAUGACGGCCUUCGGGUUGUAAACUGCUUUCGCCUGUGACGAAGCGUGAGUGACGGUAAUGGGUAAAGAAGCACCGGCUAACUACGUG
rnacentral:rRNA from 1 species